AUUGACCUCGGAUCAGGUAGGGAUACCCGCUGAACUUAAGCAUAUCAAUAAGCGGAGGAAAAGAAACCAACAGGGAUUGCCUUAGUAACGGCGAGUGAAGCGGCAACAGCUCAAAUUUGAAAUCUGGCUCUUUCAGGGUCCGAGUUGUAAUUUGUAGAGAGUGCUUCGGGUGAGACCUCGGUCUAAGUCCAUUGGAACAUGGCGUCAUAGAGGGUGAGAAUCCCGUAUGUGACUGUGGCUCAAGCCCAUGUGAAGCCUCUUCGACGAGUCGAGUUGUUUGGGAAUGCAGCUCAAAAUGGGUGGUAAAUUUCAUCUAAAGCUAAAUACUGGCUGGAGACCGAUAGCGCACAAGUAGAGUGAUCGAAAGAUGAAAAGCACUUUGGAAAGAGAGUCAAACAGUACGUGAAAUUGUUGAAA
rnacentral:rRNA from 1 species